rnacentral:rRNA from 1 species
GGGUUGUGAGGUUAAGCGACUAAGCGUACACGGUGGAUGCCCUGGCAGUCAGAGGCGAUGAAGGACGUGCUAAUCUGCGAUAAGCGUCGGUAAGGUGAUAUGAACCGUUAUAACCGGCGAUUUCCGAAUGGGGAAACCCAGUGUGAUUCGUCACACUAUCAUUAACUGAAUCCAUAGGUUAAUGAGGCGAACCGGGGGAACUGAAACAUCUAAGUACCCCGAGGAAAAGAAAUCAACCGAGAUUCCCCCAGUAGCGGCGAGCGAACGGGGAGCAGCCCAGAGCCUGAAUCAGUGUGUGUGUUAGUGGAAGCGUCUGGAAAGGCGCGCGAUACAGGGUGACAGCCCCGUACACAAAAAUGCACAUACUGUGAGCUCGAUGAGUAGGGCGGGACACGUGGUAUCCUGUCUGAAUAUGGGGGGACCAUCCUCCAAGGCUAAAUACUCCUGACUGACCGAUAGUGAACCAGUACCGUGAGGGAAAGGCGAAAAGAACCCCGGCGAGGGGAGUGAAAAAGAACCUGAAACCGUGUACGUACAAGCAGUGGGAGCACGCUUAGGCGUGUGACUGCGUACCUUUUGUAUAAUGGGUCAGCGACUUAUAUUCUGUAGCAAGGUUAACCGAAUAGGGGAGCCGAAGGGAAACCGAGUCUUAACUGGGCGUUAAGUUGCAGGGUAUAGACCCGAAACCCGGUGAUCUAGCCAUGGGCAGGUUGAAGGUUGGGUAACACUAACUGGAGGACCGAACCGACUAAUGUUGAAAAAUUAGCGGAUGACUUGUGGCUGGGGGUGAAAGGCCAAUCAAACCGGGAGAUAGCUGGUUCUCCCCGAAAGCUAUUUAGGUAGCGCCUCGUGAAUUCAUCUCCGGGGGUAGAGCACUGUUUCGGCAAGGGGGUCAUCCCGACUUACCAACCCGAUGCAAACUGCGAAUACCGGAGAAUGUUAUCACGGGAGACACACGGCGGGUGCUAACGUCCGUCGUGAAGAGGGAAACAACCCAGACCGCCAGCUAAGGUCCCAAAGUCAUGGUUAAGUGGGAAACGAUGUGGGAAGGCCCAGACAGCCAGGAUGUUGGCUUAGAAGCAGCCAUCAUUUAAAGAAAGCGUAAUAGCUCACUGGUCGAGUCGGCCUGCGCGGAAGAUGUAACGGGGCUAAACCAUGCACCGAAGCUGCGGCAGCGACGCUGAUGCGUUGUUGGGUAGGGGAGCGUUCUGUAAGCCUGCGAAGGUGUGCUGUGAGGCAUGCUGGAGGUAUCAGAAGUGCGAAUGCUGACAUAAGUAACGAUAAAGCGGGUGAAAAGCCCGCUCGCCGGAAGACCAAGGGUUCCUGUCCAACGUUAAUCGGGGCAGGGUGAGUCGACCCCUAAGGCGAGGCCGAAAGGCGUAGUCGAUGGGAAACAGGUUAAUAUUCCUGUACUUGGUGUUACUGCGAAGGGGGGACGGAGAAGGCUAUGUUGGCCGGGCGACGGUUGUCCCGGUUUAAGCGUGUAGGCUGGUUUUCCAGGCAAAUCCGGAAAAUCAAGGCUGAGGCGUGAUGACGAGGCACUACGGUGCUGAAGCAACAAAUGCCCUGCUUCCAGGAAAAGCCUCUAAGCAUCAGGUAACAUCAAAUCGUACCCCAAACCGACACAGGUGGUCAGGUAGAGAAUACCAAGGCGCUUGAGAGAACUCGGGUGAAGGAACUAGGCAAAAUGGUGCCGUAACUUCGGGAGAAGGCACGCUGAUAUGUAGGUGAAGUCCCUCGCGGAUGGAGCUGAAAUCAGUCGAAGAUACCAGCUGGCUGCAACUGUUUAUUAAAAACACAGCACUGUGCAAACACGAAAGUGGACGUAUACGGUGUGACGCCUGCCCGGUGCCGGAAGGUUAAUUGAUGGGGUUAGCGCAAGCGAAGCUCUUGAUCGAAGCCCCGGUAAACGGCGGCCGUAACUAUAACGGUCCUAAGGUAGCGAAAUUCCUUGUCGGGUAAGUUCCGACCUGCACGAAUGGCGUAAUGAUGGCCAGGCUGUCUCCACCCGAGACUCAGUGAAAUUGAACUCGCUGUGAAGAUGCAGUGUACCCGCGGCAAGACGGAAAGACCCCGUGAACCUUUACUAUAGCUUGACACUGAACAUUGAGCCUUGAUGUGUAGGAUAGGUGGGAGGCUUUGAAGUGUGGACGCCAGUCUGCAUGGAGCCGACCUUGAAAUACCACCCUUUAAUGUUUGAUGUUCUAACGUGGACCCGUAAUCCGGGUUGCGGACAGUGUCUGGUGGGUAGUUUGACUGGGGCGGUCUCCUCCUAAAGAGUAACGGAGGAGCACGAAGGUUGGCUAAUCCUGGUCGGACAUCAGGAGGUUAGUGCAAUGGCAUAAGCCAGCUUGACUGCGAGCGUGACGGCGCGAGCAGGUGCGAAAGCAGGUCAUAGUGAUCCGGUGGUUCUGAAUGGAAGGGCCAUCGCUCAACGGAUAAAAGGUACUCCGGGGAUAACAGGCUGAUACCGCCCAAGAGUUCAUAUCGACGGCGGUGUUUGGCACCUCGAUGUCGGCUCAUCACAUCCUGGGGCUGAAGUAGGUCCCAAGGGUAUGGCUGUUCGCCAUUUAAAGUGGUACGCGAGCUGGGUUUAGAACGUCGUGAGACAGUUCGGUCCCUAUCUGCCGUGGGCGCUGGAGAAUUGAGGGGGGCUGCUCCUAGUACGAGAGGACCGGAGUGGACGCAUCACUGGUGUUCGGGUUGUCAUGCCAAUGGCACUGCCCGGUAGCUAAAUGCGGAAGAGAUAAGUGCUGAAAGCAUCUAAGCACGAAACUUGCCCCGAGAUGAGUUCUCCCUGAC